rnacentral:rRNA from 1 species
ACUCCUACGGGUGGCUGCAGUGGGGAAUAUUGGACAAUGGGGGCAACCCUGAUCCAGCAAUGCCGCGUGUGUGAAGAAGGCCUUAGGGUUGUAAAGCACUUUCGUUAGUGAAGAAAGGUUUAUGGCUAAUACCUAUGAAUUUGACAUUAGCUAAAGAAGAAGCACCGGCUAACUCCGUGCCAGCAGCCGCGGUAAUACGGAGGGUGCAAGCGUUAUUCGGAAUGACUGGGCGUAAAGCGCACGCAGGCGGUUAUUUAAGUCAGAUGUGAAAGCCCCGGGCUUAACCUGGGAAUUGCAUUUGAAACUGGGUAACUAGAGUAUGUCAGAGGAAGGCGGAAUUUCCAGUGUAGCAGUGAAAUGCGUAGAGAUUGGAAGGAACACCGAUGGCGAAGGCAGCCUUCUGGGGCAAUACUGACGCUCAUGUGCGAAAGCGUGGGUAGCAAACAGGAUUAGAUACCCUGGUAGUCCACGCCCUAAACGAUGUCAACUAGGUGUUGGGCACUUAAGUGCUCGGUACCGCAGCUAACGCAUUAAGUUGACCGCCUGGGGAGUACGGCCGCAAGGUUGAAACUCAAAGAAAUUGACGGGGACCCGCACAAGCGGUGGAGCAUGUGGUUUAAUUCGAUGCAACGCGAAGAACCUUACCAGGCCUUGACAUCCAGAGAACUAAGCAGAGAUGCUAUGGUGCCUUCGGGAACUCUGAGACAGGUGAUGCAUGGAUGUCGUCAGCUCGUG